GACGAACGCUGGCGGCGUGCCUAAUACAUGCAAGUCGAACGCUGAAGGAGGAGCUUGCUUCUCUGGAUGAGUUGCGAACGGGUGAGUAACGCGUAGGUAACCUGCCUGGUAGCGGGGGAUAACUAUUGGAAACGAUAGCUAAUACCGCAUAAUAGUAGAUGUCGCAUGACAUUUGCUUAAAAGUUGCAAUUGCAUCACUACUAGAUGGACCUGCGUUGUAUUAGCUAGUUGGUGAGGUAACGGCUCACCAAGGCAACGAUACAUAGCCGACCUGAGAGGGUGAACGGCCACACUGGGAAUGGGAAACGGCCCAGACCCCUACGGGAGGCAGCAGGAGGGAAACUUCGGCAAAGGACGGAAGGCUGACCGAGCAACGCCGCGGGAGGGGAGGAGGGUUUCGGAUCGUAAAGAUCUGUUGUAAGAGAAGAACGAGUGUGAGAGUGGAAAGUUCACACUGUGACGGUAGCUUACCAGAAAGGGACGGCUAACUACGUG
rnacentral:rRNA from 1 species